CUCGUUGGUGGGGUAACGGCCUACCAAGGCGACGAUCGGUAGCUGGUCUCAGAGGAUGAUCAGCCAGACUGGGACUGAGACACGGCCCAGACUCCUACGGGAGGCAGCAGUUAGGAAUUUUGGGCAAUGGGCGCAAGCCUGACCCAGCAACGCCGCGUGGGUGAAGAAGGCCUUCGGGUUGUAAAGCCCUUUUCUGAGGGAAGAUGAUGACGGUACCUCAGGAAGAAGCACCGGCUAACUACGUGCCAGCAGCCGCGGUAAUACGUAGGGUGCGAGCGUUGCCCGGAUUUAUUGGGCGUAAAGGGCGCGUAGGCGGCCACGCACGUCCGUUGUGAAAUCGCUCGGCUCAACUGGGCGGGGUCAGCGGAUACGGUGUGGCUGGAGCAAGCUAGGGGGCAAUGGAAUUCCCGGUGUAGUGGUGGAAUGCGUAGAUAUCGGGAGGAACACCAGUGGCGAAGGCGGUUGCCUGGAGCUUUGCUGACGCUGAUGCGCGAAAGCGUGGGGAGCGAUCCGGAUUAGAUACCCGGGUAGUCCACGCCGUAAACGAUGCGGACUAGGUGUCGGGGGUAUCGACCCCCUCGGCGCCGCAGCUAACGCAUUAAGUCCGCCGCCUGGGGACUACGGCCGCAAGGCUAAAACUCAAAGGAAUUGACG
rnacentral:rRNA from 1 species